ACACACACACACACACACACACACACAUAUACAUGCCCACGGCUGCUAAAGGUGUCGCAUGCACCUCCCCGACAGCAAAAAGCGAUCUGCCUUAUUUUAACAUACGCAGCGCUGUCAGGUUAAAAGCAUUUGCUCCGAUCUCGCACUCAAGUUAUCACACACCUGACACCGGGUCCCUUCAGGAGAGCCAGCAUCCACAAAGGCACGCUUCGUGCAGGCUGGUGGCAUGGGACACACACCACAGCGGGAGUUCUAAGUUUCCAUUUUGAUCACAUUGCUCAAACAUGAGAAUGAGUCACCCACCGUACUGAAACCGUGACCUUUGUAUUUACACCGAAAAAGGAAUGAUAAGCUUAGGACAGGGAAAGAAAACUAGAGGGAAGGGAAAAAAAAACCCCAAGAAAACAUAAAACACCCAAACCCAGGCAUAUCUUUGCUCUUUGAAACACAGUCAGCUGAUGUUAUUCACAUGAAAGCUAAAGAAGUUGUGGCUGCGAUUGGGUUUGUUUAGUGUAUCUGCAUGAACUCCAAGGGAAUCAUGUCAACAGCUCUGCAGUCCCUGCAGCAGGCAUACUCUGGUCACAGUAAAGCAGGGCAAAGCUUUUUGUGUCCAUUCAUCCAGUAAAGGAACCAUGUGAGAUAUUUCACUUAGAAAUAGAGUCCAUCUUUAAUUUAGAGCAAUCCUGCCCCUCAGCCAUCCUCAGCAACACACAGUUAUCCUGCAAGGGGAAAAAAUGCUGGCAGGGAAGAGCUGUUACUGUCAAAGUAACCAGAACAUGAAGAUCCAAAAGAAAACAAGUUUUAUAAGACUUAAAAAAAUUAUUAAUUGGACAUAAUUCUUCAAUGUGUUUUUCCAUCCCCUCCUAAUUAAUUAAAAAAAACCUACUCAACUGAUUUCUAGUAUUUUUCAUCAACAAACCACCAGCUGCAGCAAUUCCUACAGAGCAGACAGAAGUGUAGUGCAGUGGACCCAAACGGGACCUGUCAAAGAACAUGACUUUGAAGAGAACAGACCCAAAGGGUAUCAAUAUUUAAAUACAGCAGGCCAGCCUGACUGAGAAAACCCAAGCAUUUAAAUGGAUUUAUUAUUUAUGCCUCUGUCAUAUUUGGAGCAUCCCUUCAGACAAAGGGAAUAAAAUCCUGGCAAGGAUUGUUUUGUGUAAGACAAUGAACUGGACAGGUUUCUAAUGUAUACCUGAAGUGUGGCUCAUCCAGCAGACAGGUUGGAUCUAUGGGGUGUGGAUGAAAAGAACAGGGGUUGCAGGAAACAUUUAUGAGUAGCCUGCUGAGACAAUCAUUAGAGCUACUUGCAUCCAUCUCAUUCUCCAAUACAUUCAAAGUGUGUUCUCAAAAGAAAAUUUGGCCAUGAACCAAUGGGCAGCUGCAUUUUUAAGUGGAAACCUCUGUUAAAUUAAAAUUUUCUGUGUUAUAGCAUGAGCUCUACCAUCUGUUGUCUGGCUCAUUUAUGACCAGCUAAGCUUGCAAAAAAACCAACGAGAAACUGAAAUUAUGCAAAAGGGAAAUGUCCCCUGGGGAAACUGUUUUGUAUUUCCCACAGGGAGUAAGAACUUUUGUGCUUGAGUGGUGCCUACAACACUAAAAGGGAGAUAAAUUAAUGUUAGAGCUGAACAAAACCAGACAGAAUAAAGUAAGCUGCUUCCUAAGGAUAUGCAAUUGAGAACUGCAAUGGCAGGCCUGCAUGCUAAAAAACACCUUCUAGAUACUCAUUUGAGGUGCUUCAAAUAAUUGAGACUUUGUAUAAAUAGCCUUCCAUUGUAAUACAAUGACGAUCAAUAGGAACAGCCUAUUGAUGCAGAGGUUUCUGCAUUUGAAAUGGUUUGUCCUCAUGUGCUGCUUAUGGCGAAUUUCAGUUCAUUUUGUAUGCACUGAUUUUAUUUGAGAGAGACACACACAGGCCUGAUUUAGUCUGAUGGAAACCCUGGAUGAGUUGCCAGCUGCUUCCUCCCUUGCAGGACAGAGGAGACUGAGGUCUCAUGGGAUAAUACCUGGUACUGGACACCAGGAAUGACAAAGCCUCCAGGAUGCUGCUGGCCACGCUGCCAUUUCCAGCAGCAGCAAGUUGCUGUCUUCUCCCCAAUUUCUACAGGGCAGUGGGAAGAGGGAACACAUCUUUCAGCCCUUGCUCCAGCCCUUGCCUCUCAUCCUCCCCUUCUUACAGGUGGGAAAUUUGAAGGCCCAUUCCCAGGCAUGAGAUUAAGUUUAUUACCUAUAACCAGAAAAAGGCAUAACAGUACAGAACUUGGUGAGAGGUUUUUCUAACAUUUUAGAAACCAGCUAAGGAAAUAGCUCUCUUAGAAAAAAAAAGCAAGUGCUUCCAAGUUUUUGAGGGAAAAUAGAAAAGGUGGAAGAGGAGGAGUGAUUAUACUCUACGUAAAAGAGUGAUUUGAGACAUAGGCAAGAGGACAGAUCAGCUGGGUGUCUUUGGGUCAAAAUCAGAGGAGUCAUCAUCAAGGAAGUGCUUAUGGUAGGUGUCUGCUAGGGAAUCUGUUUCCUGAUGUGGGAACAGAUAAAAACUUUUUCAAACAAUUGAAGACUGGCACUGGCAGCCUUGGCUGCACUGGUAAGAUUAUCCUAAGGAAUAUGAAGAAGGUGAGUAGCAGAGUAAAGCCCCAGACCUGCAAAAGAGCAGAGUUCAUUUUGCUCAGGGAGCUGUCAGGAGGUAUCCCUGAAGUCUGCCUUGAAAGCCAAAGGUGUUCAGUAGCAUUGGGAGACUUUCAGACAGCAUUCUCCAUGCACAAGAGCAGUCCACCCACCUAAGCAGGCACAGCAAGAAACCAGCCUGGUUAAACAGUGAGAUACUGAAAGAGUUCAGAUGCAAAAAAAAGGAACAUGAAAGUGAUGGAAAACAGGAACAGGCUUCCAAAGCAGAAUAUAGAAAUAUCACUCAGGCACGCAGAGAUGAAGAGGGAAAGGUUAAAGUCCAGCCCUAGCCUGAGCUGGCAAAAGAUGUCAUGAAUAGCAAGAAAAUACUAACAUCCUGAAUUGUGUGUUAGCAAGCAGGACAAGGAAUAGAUAGGUCAACUGUUGAGUGGGGUUGGCCAGUUAAUUACAAAUGACAGAGGGAGAACUGAAGAUUUUCUUUAUGCCUUCUUUGCCUAGAUCUUCUUGAGGAAGGUGAUGGUUCCAAGUCUCUAUGGAAUCAAUGAGGAAGCAAAUAACAAACUGCUGACAGUGGGAAAAGGCUGAGUUAGCUAAGAUGGGUGUAAUAUUUGCCCUUUUCCAGUCAGCUGAGACUUCCCUCAGACUCCACAACCUGCCAAAGAUGUUGCAGUGUGCCUCUGCAAUGAUGUUGGCAAGCCCUCCCAGAAGCUUUGGAUGCAUUCUGCCAAGUCCCAUUGACUUGUGUAUGUCCCACUUGUACAGGUGGUCUCAAACACUCCUGAGCUCCUUUGCUCUCUUUGGAAACCCUUCCAACAGUUUCCUAUGAAGCUGAAAUAGGAGCAAUGUCAUGUAUGGCCAUCUGCAUAUAUUGUAUAGAAAUGUGAGACCACCAAUAGAAACAUGAUGGAACAGAGCUGUCAACUUUGAUGCAAGUAAAAACUGGUGCAACACCCAAGGAUCGACCAAGUGGUGAGGCAGGCUAAGAAAUGAACCAGAAGAGCUGUGGUAAUCCUCAGCCAAAACAAAGAAACCAUAAACCAACUAGCCAGAAGAAGAAGAAAUAAAAAAGCAGUGUUAAAACACAUCCGACUGGACACUCUGGCAUCGUCACCUACCGCAACAGCGUUCUUUAAUGUUAUGCGGUCAUUGCCUUGUUCAAAAGCCAGAGAGAACUGUAAUAAAGCAUUUUUCCACAAAGUUCAUGCUUAUGAAUGCUCACAUUUUACAACACAACAGAUGUGACAAGUCAGCUGGAGGGCCUGAAGGCAAGACCGGAGCAACGCUUGCUGCAGAGACACACAUUCAUCUUGGAGGCCACAACCAACUUGGAUGCUUGGCAGAAGAUAAAACCAAGCAACCACACUAUCAAAGUGACAGCAGUGGGAACCAGGGGUAUAUGUUGGGGUCUGCCAAGGUGCUGCAGAAGUGAAUUCUUCAGUCACGGUAGAUUAUUUUUAUAGGGGUACUGCCGCCUAAUGUGCAUGUAGGUAUCUGAUAAAAUGAGAGUGCUAUUAAAUACCUGAUAAGCACAAAGACAUCUUUCAGCAGCGUUCUGUUUUAUGAUAGACACAGGGGUGUAAUUGCUCAGAUACCAUCAACCUGAUAAAAAGGAGGAAACCUGAAUGGACAAGCAGAAAUGACAUUUUAGUGGCACUACUCCCAGAGCCUUGCAGAGUCACUUCCAGUCUCUGUGUGAACAUGUAGCAAAGUACAUAGAUUAACAGCCAUUGCUGUCUACAUUGAUCUUCAAUGCCAUAUUGUGUUCCGUGGGAAUAAGCAGGGCUGCUCCAGUGUCCUUGCUUUCCCAUGGCUAUAUGCAGAAUUACUCCUGUCCUUCUAGGUCUGAAAGUGGCUGACUUUCUAGAACACCUAGUAUAUUCACCAAGGAUAAUUCAUGAGACUCCUCAAACUAAAAUACUUGUAAAAAUUCAUGGUCUGCAGGAGGAAACUUCAGGAAUGAGCUGGAAGCAGUGCCUAGUUCUCAGCAAUAAAGCAUUACCACACCAGGCCUAUGAGAGCACCUAUCAGGCUCAGUGCAGAAUAUGCACUGCAGAACACAUUGUGGAAGGUAAGCACUUCUUGUUAAAACAAUUCAACAUACAGAAAAUGUUACAAAAGCCUAACUAGGAAUGUGAUUAUGCUCACAUUUUGCUCUUUUUUCUUUUUCUUUAAACAGGCAGAGGCAUAUAAUAAUGUAUUUCAUUUUCCCUCUUUAUUCAAUAAAACCUUCACCUUUUCUCAAAUAGGUAUUUCAGAUUUUUAUUAUCAUUAAUUAUGUGUAUUACAAUAGCAGCCAGAAGCCUCCAAAUUAGUGCCCAAUGCACAGGUCCCUGUUGUACAAACAGAUGCUAAAAACCACUCCCAGCUCCAAGCUGAUGACAAAUGAAAUCAUGAAGAAAAAGAAGUCCCUUUGGGAUCCUGGUCUGAGGAGCCAGGCAGAGACCCAGGGAACAUGCAGCAUGCUAAUGGCUGUGACACUGCUUUUUUCACUUUGGAAUAGACUCUGGAGAAAGAAAAAGAACUGGGUCUGUUGGUGCAUCAUGUUUCCCAUAUGGGAAUAAUUUAUUCAUGCUUGCUGAUGAUCCUAAUUUCAAGCCUUGCUCAGUAGGAACCUGAAAUUCAACAAGUGAAAAAUGUGUCCUCAUUGAGGACACACAAUAAAUUCCCAUUAUCUCCCUUCAAACUGGGAUUUGAGGCUGCUCUCUGGUGGCAUUUACAAACCAAGGGAAGAAAGAAGCUGCAGAAGGAAAAAAAGACAGACCUGGAUUUUUUACCCAGAGAUGAGGGCAAGAAUUCAGUCCUGCCUGCCCUGUAAAUGGGGCUGGUUGGAUGCUUUCCAGCAGGACUGAUGUCUUGCAGAAUGCUUUCCAGAAAAAUGCAACUGAAAAAAUUAAGAUGAAGUGGGAAAAUAUCUCUAUCACCUUUCCUGAAGGUGAUGGUGGUUCUGCUUCCUUGUCCCUAUUGUACCAGUGCCAAGGGGAUACAGAACUACUCCAGAAGAGACUAGAAAGAGGUUGUAAAAGAUCCAGCAAGAAAGACAAAAGAAUCCCACAGACAAGAGAGCCUCAGUUACAGAUCUUCAGAGAGGCAGAGGUAGCUUGGGCCAUCACUGAAGGGACACUCUACCUGCCUGUCUGAGUCUAGGCUAUGGUGAUCUAGUUUUUCGAAGGCCACAUAGAGUGGAAGUGAGACUGGCUGUUCAUUUGCCCUUUUUGCCAGUCACCCAAGAGAGAGUCUUGCACAUUUGUACUGAACUUUACAUCCCAGAUAUAUAAACAAUGCAGAAUUAUUCUCCUGAGAGGUGAAGGUGGCUAAGCCCAUCCUUUUGUUUUAUGCAUGAGAAGCUCUUUGUGACACAGUGAUCACCUUGUCAGCUUUAUAGGUACUCUUUCCCCACAGAGCAGUACUACUGCAAACAGCAGCUAUGCAGUGAACCCCUCAGCUUUGAAACAUUCCUGGGAAGAAGCCCUUCCACCAGAGACCUUCUCCAACAGGGAAGACAAAGCUACACUAGGUAAGAGAUACCUUUGCUGUCUGGCAGGAAACAAAGCACUUUCCCUCCUGAAGGCUGCAGAUAGAUGCCUGCAGUACUUACACCUGCAGGAGAAUGUCAGAAAAUUAUCCCUUGUCAGGAAAUCAUUAAAAAUGUUAUCUUUUUCUUUGGGAGUUCCUUGAGACUUUGCUCCCUUCAUCUUUCUCUCCUCAGUGGCUGCUGGAGAAGGCUGCAGGAUAUUGGACAUGAACCAACAUGAGUAGCCAAGAUUCUCUUCUAAAUACAACUACUAUUAUUCUUUAAUGCCAAACCUUUGGUCCCAUUGCUCAUAAGCUGUCAGUGUGACACAGGCUACACUCUGACUUCAGCUCACACAGGCCAACUUCUGGAAAUAGCUUCAUGCUACCUAAGUAAAUCUUUGCCUAUUAAUGAAAAUAGCAAAGGGAAUGACAAAAUUGUUUGGGCAGAUAAAAGAACGAGUGUUUGACCUUGACCAAAUUCCUCAUGUUUAGGUAAUCCUUCCCUCUCCUGAAACUCCUGGAAAUACCCACAGCCGAUCACAGACCCUUUUUUCUUUCUCUCUUUUUGCUAGCAGCUCUUUGUCUUAAACUAUAGUGAUGUUAUUCCUGCAGCAGUGUACCAGGCACACAUCACUCUCAUCUCCAGAGGUUUGAACUCCUCUGGAGAGGUGCAAUAAGGCAGAGGUGAACCACGGUCACUAUAAAUGCUCUUUGCUUGAGAUUAAUCUGAUAUGCUUUUAAGGCAUAUCAGCUGUAUUUUGCAUGUUAUCAUCUGCUUGUGGCAGCAUUACACACACCUAUUUAUACCCACAAGUCAAUAAGGGGCAGCCCAGGACCUUGGCUCUGGUGCUGAUUUGGGACUGGAGUGUCUGCUUCCUUGGGGAAAGAUGGGAAAGG